rnacentral:rRNA from 1 species
CCCUUAGCUGUUCUGGGCAGCACGCGCGCUACAAUGGUCUUCGCAAACGGAUGCAUUCUCGAAGGAGAAUGCCAAUCUUGGAAUCUAUGCCUUGGUCGGGACAGUUGCUUGCAAUUUUUCGACUCGAACCAGGAAUUCCUUGUAAUCGUGAUUCAUCACAUCACGAUGAAUACGUCCCUGCCCUUUGUACACACCGCCCGUCGCUCCUACCGAUCGAAGAGUUAGGUGAAUUGUUUUGAUCGAUAAGAUUUGACUAUGGUCAACUCUCGUUGUGAAAUUCUGUGAAUCUGACUGUUUAGAGGAAGGAAAAGUCGUAACA